rnacentral:rRNA from 1 species
CCAAGGCGCUUGAGAGAACUCGGGUGAAGGAACUAGGCAAAAUGGUACCGUAACUUCGGGAGAAGGUACGCCCCUGGUAUGUGAAGCGACUUGCUCGUGGAGCAGAAGGGGGUUGCAGUGACCAGAUGGCUGCGACUGUUUAGCAAAAACACAGCACUCUGCUAACACGAAAGUGGACGUAUAGGGUGUGACGCCUGCCCGGUGCCGGAAGGUUAAUUGAUGGGGUUAGCGUAAGCGAAGCUCUUGAUCGAAGCCCCGGUAAACGGCGGCCGUAACGAUAACGGUCCUAAGGUAGCGAAAUUCCUUGUCGGGUAAGUUCCGACCUGCACGAAUGGCGUAACGACUUCCCCGCUGUCUCCAGUGUAGACUCAGCGAAAUUGAAUUCUCCGUGAAGAUGCGGAGUUCCCGCGGUCAGACGGAAAGACCCCGUGCACCUUUACUACAGCUUCACACUGGUAUUCGUAAUGACAUGUGUAGGAUAGGUGGUAGACGUUGAAGCAUUUGCGCCAGCAGAUGCGGAGUCAUCCUUGAAAUACCACCCUUGUCCUUAUGGAUAUCUAACCGCGGCGCAACAACGUCCGGGACCGUGUGUGGCGGGUAGUUUGACUGGGGCGGUCGCCUCCCAAAGAGUAACGGAGGCGCGCGAUGGUGGGCUCAGAGCGGUCGGAAAUCGCUCGUUGAGUGCAAUGGCAUAAGCCUGCCUGACUGCGAGACUGACAAGUCGAGCAGAGUCGAAAGACGGCCAUAGUGAUCCGGUGGUCCCAAGUGGGAGGGCCAUCGCUCAACGGAUAAAAGGUACUCCGGGGAUAACAGGCUGAUGAUGCCCAAGAGUCCAUAUCGACGGCAUUGUUUGGCACCUCGAUGUCGACUCAUCACAUCCUGGGGCUGGAGCAGGUCCCAAGGGUUUGGCUGUUCGCCAAUUAAAGUGGUACGUGAGUUGGGUUCAGAACGUCGCGAGACAGUUCGGUCCCUAUCU